GCCCCUGAAUACUAGAAUGCAAAAUAACAGAACCCGUCAGAUGACCUUGUAAUAAGAAUUUUGAAACAGGAGAAGAUUGAGGCUCAAACAUGUUAAAAAAAAAAAACUAUGCUAAUUCACUUCAUCAUUCUCCUAGACAAAAGUCCUAUGACCCCACCAGCCACAUCCUUCAUAUCUACUGUCCUGGCUAGUGACAGGUGAGAGCAAGUCUUUUUUAAACCACCUCAGUCAUGGACAUCGGAAGGGGCACAUCUUUUGAAAAUAUAGGUUAAUGUUGACUAUUCAAUAUCAAUUUCAUAGGAGGAAUUGGAAUAAAAGAUAUAGAAGCCUGAAGCCCGGACGCAAAAAUACCAGCAGCAAUUAGAGUCCUACAGUAACUGAAAUUAUUCAAAACAUUUGGGUUAAACUGUAAUUUUUCCAUUGAAAAAAAAUUUAAACAAUUUGUGAAAUUAUUCAUAUACAAUGGUUCAUAAUUUUUUUUAUAUAUAUGUACAUAUAUUUAUUUUUUAUUUAUUUAUACACAUGGCGUGUCCCCGCCGUGUCCGUAUCCCCAUUUUUUUAGAAUUGCCGUAUCCCAUGUCUGUGUCUGUAUUCAUAUCUGUGUCCAUGCUACAUGGUCCUACAGUAACUGAAUGUCUACUUCGUGCACAAUAUUAGAAACCAUACCAAUAAUGUGGACAUAAGAAAUUAUAGCAAAAGACACGGUGAAUGUUAUGUAAUCAAGUUGCAUAUAAAAACUGGCACAAUGGGGCAAAUUAAUUUCAACGGAAUCUAUGUUUAAAGUAAAUUUAACACUUCUGAAUUAAAGUUCCACUUAUUGAAUUUACAAGCCCCUUGGCUUGCAUGAAAGGAAGAGAAAGGAAAAGAUUAUGUUUCUCACCAAAUGUCACCCAAAUAAUGAGAUUUUGAGAGAAAUAAAAAUGACCCACUAAAAAAUCAUAUCUUCUUUACUUUUCUAUCCUAUCUCGCCAUUUCUUGCCUCUAAAUCCAUCAAGACAAGUAAUAAGUUUCUCCUUUGUUUUCAAUCUAGUAGUGAAGGCUAACCCUAUGUUUAACACAACAAACCGAACCAAAUGUAAUGACAGACACGAAGUAGGGAAUAAACAAAUCUACAAGCAAUAAAAACAAGGACACAAAGAUAUACGUGGUUACACUCAAACACAAAGUAAAAACGUACGCUACGGGCGAAGAGCGAAAGAGGAUUCACUAUGAAUGAGGAGAAAUUACAAAGAGCCGACUAUACCCAUAACUCUCAACGAAGCACCAAACGAUACAAAUCUCUAGUGGAACCCGAAAGGGAGACACAAACCCUAGUGGAACCCAAAGAGAUAACUCAAAACCCUAAUAUCAUGCCCCAAUAACCAAAGGUCCCUAUUAAUAGGAAAGCAGGAAAAAUAAAUCUAAACUGAUUAGAAUAGAAUUCUAGUCACAUAAGCCUAAACAGACUCGAAUAAAGAAUUCGAGUCACUUUCCAACACCAAACAAGCCUUAAGACCAAAUCAAUUGGGGUUGACAUGUAGGGCUGAAAACAAGUC